UGGUGAGAUCAAUUGCCAAGAGUAGGAACUUUAGUUGUGAUAAGUGUGAAGCUGUUAGGAGAGGGUUUAAUCUGGCUAGUGUAGCAGGUGAAAUGGGAGGGAACACUGUGAGGGAGGUCUACCUAACAAGGAGAAAAUUGAGAGAAAUUCAGCCAGAAUGUAGCCCUACUUUCUUCUAAAUGGAAAUACUCAUCACUGUGAGAAUAGAGACAAACAGAAUGCGAGAAAGAAAAAUACAGUAACAGAUAGCAUUUAUCUAUUUAAGCAUUUUGCAUAUAUUAACUCAUAAAAUGCUAUUAGAUAAAACACUAUUAGGUAAUACAGUAUUAUUCCUAUUUUACAGAAAGAAGCUCAAAGUUGUUAAAGCAAAAGAGAGGGACCUUACUAUUUUGCCCUUGUCUGCUUCCCCAGAAUUCUUUUGCCACUUACUACUUUGAACUUUCUGCAUGAACACCAUCAAAUGGUUUUCAGUUUCAUGCCAUGAUGAGCUAUUUCUUGCCUCUGUACCUUUGGUCAUGCCAAGAUUCUCAGUCCAUGACCCCUUUUCUUGACUCCCAUCCAUUCUUUAACCCUCAGAUUCUGUUACUUUCUCACAAUUUGUGGACAUUUCUCUCACGGUGUUAAAAUAUUCUGUUUCCUUACCUUCACCUGGACUGGACUGUGGGCAGGACAUAGAUUUCGUGUCUGUGGCAUAGGGCCUGGCCAAUACUAUAUAUAUUUUUCAACUCAACCACAAAUGAGUAAAUAUCUGCGAUAACUAGGUGAACAGAAAAUUCUCAGGGAUGAGGUUUAAAAUACGGAAAGAGGAAAGAAGUAAAAACUCGUGGCAAAAUAGAACUUGCAUACUCUUUGCUUUCAAUUUAGGCUAGGGGUCAAACCAGAACUAUAGCUGCUGGCCUAUACCGCAGCCACAGCAAUGCGGGAUCUGAACUGCGCCUGCAACCUACACCACAGCUUUCAGCAACGCCGGAUCCCCAGUCCUCUGAGAGAGGCCAGGGAUUGAACCCGCAUCUUUGUGGAUACCAGUCAGAUUCAUUUCCGCUGCACCACAGUGGGAACUCCAAGGAAAAAAACAGCAUUUAAUAUGAGUUUGUAUACUACAGUCUAAGGAGAUUUUGUAUGAGUUCUGAGCGAUAUAGGUACUCAUAGGAAUGUAUCUCUAAUUUUUCCCCAUCUUAGUUAAUGGUGUUAACUUUUAAUGAUAACCUCUGCCCUUGGGUCUGCAGAAAUUCAAAACGGUUUGGGUAUUUUGAUGUGCAGGGAAAAAAAAUGGACACUUCCAAAAAAAUUUUUUUGACCACACCCAUGGCAUGUGGAGGUUCCUGGGUCGGGGAUUAAACCUGAGCCACAACAGUGACCAGAGGUGAUGCAUGGACAACACCGGAUCCUUAACGUGCUGUGCCAGAAGAGCACGCCUGUACACAUUAAAAAAAACCCAAAUCCUUAAGCUUUCUCUGCUUAUCUUUAGCACUUAUCUGUGGCUUUUGCAAUGCUAGCAUUACCAUAGUGAUAAAUAGGGGGUGAUGCUAUCCAUAAAGUUUCCUGCAUAGUUCAAUAAAAAUACCAGUAAUGACUAUUUUUUAUUGGUUAUGCCUGGCACCAUGCUAAGCAUUUCACAUACAUUAUUCCAAUUAAUUACAGUACCUCUAUGUUACAAAUCAGAAAUGUGAGGCCCAAGGCCACCCACUGACAGAGCCAGGAUUCUGACACCAGUAACUAUGCUCACCACACUACACAUUUGCUCUAAUUUAUUAAUUCCUUUAGGUCUUUCUCUUUCAAGUGGCUUUAGUCAAUACAGCCACUGUGGGUUCUGCGCAUAUGCUGGAAAUAGCAUGGUCUGUUAAUUCUAACCCUCCACUGACUGUAUCAGGCAGUUCCUAGUUUUAAGCUCGGGCUCAAAGUGUAGACUCUUUUAUGAGAUUUCUGGCAGAAGCAGGUGAAAGGAAGAAUUCAAAACCAUUUCCUUUGUUGGGAGAGACACAUCAAGUAGUUGGGAGGGAGUGGGGCUGUUCCAUUCAGCCCUCAGUCUAGUCUCUUGGAGAGCAGCACUGAAGUCUCUCCCAUAAUUGCCUGCCUGGAAGGUGGAAAAUGGGAUAAGUGAUGUCACCGCAAAUGCAGACAUGCUGAACCCAAUAUUGCACAUCAGUGAAAUGGCUCAGGGAUUAGCUAGGCAUCCUCAACCCAUUUUCACAUUUAGUUUUCCUUCAAAGGAGAACUAUAUAAAAUAUACAACAAUAACCCAUGGCUUAUUUUAAAGUGCUUUCUUCUGACAGUCCUUAGUAGCACAUGAUUAGAGUUAAAAACCGAGAAACUAAUCCUUCUUCAGCUGCUGACCUGCAGUGUGAAAUGCAGUCAGGUAACCUACUCCAGGGCUGACCAAGGCACAGGUAUUUAUUAAGUAUCUAUUAACAGUCCAGCAUGAAUUUUUAUGCUUUGGGUAUCAAAAGAGUAUUGAAAGCUAGGUUUCAGCUUACCCUGAGCACCACACAAGUCAAAAUAAUGAAUUUCAGUGGUUAAAUGACUGGUAUAAACUACGGCAGUUGGGAUGACAAAUAAAUGAAUGACAGCUGGACUGGUCAAGCAUAGUGAGCAAUUGCUCUGACUGCCCACAAUCUACUUGUUUUUCCUCUAAUAACAUAAUACAUAUUUUGCUCUGAGAAGUCAUGCAUCCCCACUCUAAGUCCGCUUAGUUUGGGUGAUGACUAAGACAGGAAUGGGAGCAUGACUGACUAUAGCCAGUGAGAUUUUAAAAAUAUUCCUGUAUUGCCUAUGGCUGAAAGGAGACUUACACAUGGACUUUUCAGUUAGCUGAAACAAGAAAUUUCUUUUUUCUUAAGCAGUUUGCUUUGGCUUGUUUGCUACUUGCAACCAAAAUAUUGCUAACGGGUUUUCUGCUUCUAGAUAGGGUAGACUUCUGCUUCUCAGAAGGAUACAGUAGAAGCUGACAGGGUAAUGUUCCCACUGCAACAACUUGAAACCAACAGAUAAAUUGCAAACUUCAUAUUUCUGAAUGCAUGGGGGAAAUGUAGAAGUAACAGAGAUGAGAUAAACCCUAAAUCUUGAGAGGUGAGAAGCUGACUACUCUAGUCAUUUUUCAACCUGAGUCAUCUGCCAAUUUUGAGCAUGACCUGAGGAGCAGGCUCGCUGAUGAAGCAGAACUCUGCUGGGAGUAAGAGUGACCACCUGAGCUUUUAGCAGUUACAGGGGGCUGAUAUGGCAGUUUGGAAGCUUGAAGAGACUCAAAUACUUAUUGUUUCCAUAUAGGUUCUAGAGCUGCAGGGGAACUAAGCUAAAAGCUUCUAAAAUGCAGAGUAAAUUGUCUAGAGUUUCUUGGUGCUUAGGAACUAAGAUCUGCCAGUGAGAGAGCUUGCAUCAAGAAAAUUUACUUAGGGUCUAGAGAUUGACUGAAACUUACAGAGAGCAGAGAUGGAAACCAGUACUGUUCUGGGGCUCAGGAAAUAUUUCUGACAGGGAUAUACAUGUCCCUGACAGAAUAUAUAAAUAUAUAUAUUUGUCUCUUUUUUUAGGGCUGCACCCAUGGUAUAUGGAGGUUCCCAGGCUAGCCACAACCACAGCAACACAGCUAUACCACAGCUUACAGCAACACCGGAUCCUUAACCCACUGAACAGGGCCAAGGAUAGAACCUGUGCCCUCAUGGAUGCUAGUCAGAUUCAUUUCUGCUGAGCCAUGAUGGGAAUUCCUGUCAGGGUUAUAUUAAAAAAUCUAGGAGAUUUAGGCUCUUGCACCAGUGAAAAUCAGGAAUGGACUUAAUAUUAUAAAUAUUGCAAUCUAGUUUUGUUCCUAAUGAAUUUCUAAAUGGGUUAAGAUGAUUGUAUUUUGCUAUAUUUGCAUAAUUAUGAAGAAAACACUAUGGUGAAAGAUAAAAUAAUCUGGACCCUCUUUUUUUUUUAAAUUGAAGUAUAGUUGAUUCACAAUAUUGUGUUAGUUUCAGGUUAUAGCAAGGUGAUUCAGUUAUAUAUUUCUUUAGAUUAUUUUCCAUUAUAGGUUAUUAUAAGAUAUUGAAUAUAGUUCCCUGUGUUAUACAGUAAACUCUUGUUGCUUAUCUAUUUUAUGUACAGCAGUUUUUAUCUUUCAGUCCCUUAAUCCAAUUUAUCCCCCCCAUUUCCCUUAGGUAACCAUAAGUUUGUUUUCUAUACUUGUAAAACUGUUCUUUAUUUUGUAUAUAGACUCAUUUGUAUUAUAUUCAGAUUCUAAAAAUAAGUGAUAUCAUAUAAUAUUUGUUUUUCUCUGAUUUUCUUCACUUAUAAUAAUCUCUGGGUCUAUUUAUGUUGCUGCAAAUGGCAAUGUUUCAUUUUUUAUUGGUUAGUAAUAUUCCAUUGUAUAUAUGUAUGUAAAUAUACAUACAUGCAUACACAUACACAAGAUUGCUUUGGCAAUUCUGGGUCUUUGUGGUUCCAUAUAAAUUUUAGUAUUAUUUAUUCUAGUUCUGUGGAAAUACAUUAUGCGUUUUUUUGAUAGGGAUCACAUUAAAUGUGUGGUUGCUCUGGAGGUAGUAUGACCAUUUUAAGAAUAAUUCUUCCGGAGAUCCCGUCGUGGCGCAGUGGUUAACGAAUCCGAACCAUGAGGUUGUGGGUUCGGUCUCUGGCCUUGCUCAGUGGGUUAAUGAUCCUGCGUUGCCGUGAACUGUGGUGUAGCUUGUAGACGCGGCUCGGAUCCCGCGUUGCUGUGGCCCUGGCGUAGGCCCGUGGCUACAGCUCCAAUUCGACCCCUAGCCUGAGAACCUCCAUAUGCCGCGGGAGCGGCCCAAGAAAU
rnacentral:lncRNA from 1 species